rnacentral:ribozyme from 12 species
UAUGGACAAGGGUGAAAAAGAGCUAAACCGCCUGCAUGAGUUGAAGACGGUGAUGAUUGGAAAGCUCAUUCGCGAGCAACGUCAAACGAU